UUGAAGUGGUUGUUUGAACACUCCUUGUCAAUGCCACUAUAAGAAGUUUGUUGCAACAUUUUGUUAUAUUAUAAUUUUAGCUCAAAGUUUGGAUUGUUGAUAGGAGGCCUCAUUACACAUGAUGUGGUUCCAUCAAGAGUAGGCUUGACGUAGUCUCCAAGAGUCUGAGGUGGUGGUAGUUCAGCCAUCCAACAGAUGUUCUUAAAAGCUUCUAGUUAGCCUUUGGAGCUCGAACUAACACUUGGAUUGACAAAGAGUAGACCGAAUUGAUGAGGGAAGGAGUUGGUGAAAUUCUUCGGUUCUAGAUCGGGAUUUGGGUAAAACAUCUCAUACACUGUGAUCAUCCUACACAAUCAAAAAGAAGAAAACCAAAUUAGCAAACAAGGUGAACAAAACAAGUAAGCAAUGGUAGCAAACACUAAAAUGGUAGGGAAUGGCUAAAGCAGUUGUCAUGUAGUCUUUCAAAGGGGGUGAGAAUAACUCCCCAUCAACAGUACUAUCCUAACAAUGCAAGGUCGUUAUUUUUCCUAGGUCCCGCUGACCAUAUUUCUAAUCAACAUUUCGGUUUACGGUUUAGACGAUAAAAAGUUACAAAGGGUGUCUAUUUUGAUUAACUAAUGAUUAACUAACAACUAAUAGAAAUUGAAAUGCAACUAUGUAUGCAAACUAUGGAGAUUAGCAAAGAUCAAACAAUGGAGAAAUGAUGCUACUAGAUUCUAGAUUAGUCAACGUUCAAAUUCCUUGCACAAGUUGGAUUGUAUUCCAUUUGGAUCCAUAAAAGCCACUGGACAUUCCAUGCAUUUCUCAUAUGUCUAAGUCUAGUGCGGUCAAACAUAACUCACUACCAAUUGCACUUGUAAUUCGAUGCAGUCAUAUGCAAAGCAAUGACUAAUAAUGCAUACAAGAUGUUUAAUCAAAUGCUACAAUGAUGAAACGAGCAAAAAGGCAUCAUAAACAUCAAUGAAGGACACCAACAUGGUCACAUUAACAUCCCAACACUCGACAUUAACCUAACUUGGUCGAUUAGGCAAGAAUUGACAUGCACACCAAGUGUUUGAUAAAAUGUCUCAAGGUAAAUUUCACAAAAGAUGGAUAAAUUGAAUAUGAAAUGUAAUCCUAUACUAGUAAUACACAUUCUAUGGUCAAUUAAGCAUGGUCAUGCAUCAAGAUCCCAACAUUCAUCAGAAUCAAAUAAUAACAAAUUUUUGAAUUAAGAGUCUGUUUUGCACGCUGUCAAAUAACUUGGAAUUAGAAAGUUUCAACGAAAAAAACAGAUUAUGCGUUUUCCGAUUAAAAACGCAUACCAACACUCGUAAACAUUGAAAUCAUGUGGGUCUUCAAAACAACUAGAUAAUGGCUUAUGUUUUCCCAUAUGAAGAGGGCUGAAAAAUCCAAAACCAUCAGAAUUGUUUUUCUUUAUUCCCAACUUUAACCUUCGAUCUCUCCCCUAUUUUAUCCCUGACUAUUUUUCCUUCUUCCCAACUACUUUUCAUCUUCCUCUUCUCUAUACCCAAGCCACUACCAGUAAUAGAAAGGGCAAAGCAAAGAACGACACCAAACACAAAGGCUACCAGCGGCGGAAGACGGCCAAGAAUGGAGUUUGCAUUCACAUACAAGCCAAACAUAUAGCAUAGUAAAAUGGUGAUAUGUACUCAUCUCAAACCAUACUUGAGAUGGAAAGAAACAAUCUAUACCUUCGUGACUGCAACGGGUCAGAUCCGACAUUAUGACUGCAACGAGAGACAAUGUUGAUGAGAAGAAAUUUGGACUAUGAUGGCUAAAGUUGUG
rnacentral:lncRNA from 1 species